rnacentral:tmRNA from 1 species
GGGGGUGUACUGGUUUCGACGGGGGACAUUGAUGGCAGUGGUAGCGAGUCGGGAUCCCACUAGCCCGUAAUACGGUGGAAAAUUUAUAACUGCAAACGAAAAUUACGCAUUAGCUGCUUAAAGGCAGCUACGUCCUGCCUGGGUUCGCCUGUGAUUCAGGGCCAGGGCGUCAUUUAGCAGGCUAGCCAGCAGCCAAUUCUCGGAGGCUGUAAGGCAAAAGCUAUCGAGAUAGCUCCAGCGUAGCCCGUCUGUGGGCGGCGUAACCAACCUUCCGGUUGGAGGAGGCUUUAGGUCAAACGUACCGAAAAGUCAAAGUGGAGCGAAAUACUAAUACGCAGACUGCACUCGGAGAAGCUGCUGUGGUCAGUCUUUCGGACAGGGGUUCGACUCCCCUCACCUCCACCA